AUAUUUAAUUUUUUCACCCCGUAAAAGGGCCACGGUUGGCAGCAGGGUGGAGCAAUGCAAGUUUAAUGCCGUGUUUAGACAUUGUUCUCUUUCUUAUGUCUGGUCUUCACAAGAGAAGGUCACGGGUUGUUUUAUACGAGUAUCUUUCAUUUAUUUGCACCGUAAACUCAGUCCUUUGUCUGGACAAUUGUUCCUUUAUGAUCUAGUCAGGUCAGUACAAUAGUAAAAUCCUCUAAACACGCUCUUGUGACAAACACACUUUGCUGUCCUGUUUUCUAAUCGUCCACAUGGCUGGGAGAACCUAUUCAAAUACCUUGUAACUGGAGAUUCCUUCAAACCGAUUGCCAACAGUUAACAUGUAGGGCACUGCAAGGUUGGGUGACCAGGGCCAUCUGGGACUGCCUCCUGGAGGAAUUCAGGUGUGUGAAGGCUACCUGUGUCCUGAAUAAUGUCAUGAGGAUGGACACGAGGACCAGGAGGGGGGGGAUCUGUGUGCUGGAUUUCUUCACUACAUACUUUUUUUGAGGAGGGUGCUGUUCCCUGCCAACCCCAUAGACUACACUAUGCACAACCAAAGGCUCUUAAGAGCAUUCACAUUGCAAUAAGAGUAUUCUUCCAUUUACUUAGCUAUGUCAACUGCAGUUAUAUCAGUUUGAUCUCCAUCUCUUCAUUCAAAGACUCAAUCAUGGACACUCUUACUGACAGUUGUUGCUGCUUUGCGUGAUGUAUUGUUGUCUUUACCUCCUUGACCUUUUGUGCUGUUGUCUUCGCCCAAUAAUGUUUGUACCCUGUGCUCUUGCCAUAUUGUUACUACCGUGUUGUCAUGUUGAGUUGCUACCAUGUUGUCAUGUUGCAUUGCUACCAUACUGUGUUGCUGCCACGUUGUCUUAGGUCUCUUUAUGUAGUGUUGUUGUCAUAUUGAGUUACUACCAUGUUGCCAUGUUGAGUUGCUGCCACGUUGUCUUAGGUCUCUUUAUGUAGUGUUGUUGUCAUGUUGAGUUGCUACCAUGUUGUCAUGUUGAGUUGCUACCAUGUUGUCAU